rnacentral:rRNA from 1 species
CCUACGGGUGGCAGCAGUGGGGAAUAUUGCACAAUGGGGGAAACCCUGAUGCAGCGACGCCGCGUGAAGGACGAAGUAUUUCGGUACGUAAACUUCUAUCAGCAGGGAAGAAAAUGACGGUACCUGACCAAGAAGCCCCGGCUAACUACGUGCCAGCAGCCGCGGUAAUACGUAGGGGGCAAGCGUUAUCCGGAUUUACUGGGUGUAAAGGGAGCGUAGACGGCCAUGCAAGUCUGAUGUGAAAACCCGGGGCUCAACCCCGGGACUGCAUUGGAAACUGGGCGGCUGGAGUAUCGGAGAGGCAAGUGGAAUUCCUAGUGUAGCGGUGAAAUGCGUAGAUAUUAGGAGGAACACCAGUGGCGAAGGCGGCUUACUGGACGACGACUGACGUUGAGGCUCGAAAGCGUGGGGAGCAAACAGGAUUAGAUACCCGGGUAGUC